UACGUAGGGGGCAAGCGUUGUCCGGAAUUAUUGGGCGUAAAGCGCGCGCAGGCGGUGGUUUAAGUCUGGUGUCUAAACCUUGGGCUCAACCUGGGGACGCACCGGAAACUGGGCGACUGGAGUGUAGGAGAGGAAAGUGGAAUUCCACGUGUAGCGGUGAAAUGCGUAGAGAUGUGGAGGAACACCAGUGGCGAAGGCGACUUUCUGGCCUAUAACUGACGCUGAGGCGCGAAAGCGUGGGGAGCAAACAGG
rnacentral:rRNA from 1 species